CACCAUGCUACUUUGCUUUGUAAACAAAAACACGCAAAAUCGGCAGCACAACAGUGACUUCAAAAGAAAUUGACGGGACUGUGGAGGCUUACUAGGAAAUUUUUAGAAGAAGUACAUGUAUAAACCAUAAGGGCCAGAGCAUAAUGGUUCCUGGAAAGAUUUGUUUACGAAACCUUUUUCAUUGCUUCUGGAGGUUUGUUGGUUAAUUUCUCAUUCCGGAGAAAUUUAACUCCAUCACUACCAUGUUGGGGGUUCCCUAAUGCCAGAUGACAUCUCCAGGAAAGCAAAGAGAGGUAUACACCACAAAUGGCAGAGCAUAAAGGAUGGCUGGGAGAUUUGAUAAACUUACUGUUGUAGGAGAACAAUUUCAAGCAUUGAUAUAUAUUAGAAAAUUGUGCUGUCAGUCUUUUGUAUGUUGGAGGACAAGCUUCCCCUUGAAAACUGGAACAAAUGUGAAAUGAAGAAUGUGUAUCUUUAUAUUGAGAACUUUUCCUUGUAAAAUCACCUCUGGGAAAAAGUUUAUUUCAUAUCAAUUUAUUGUGUUCAUUAUCUGGUCUAAUUUUAUAUUUGUAAUUGUUUUAAAAUUGCAUGGCGAAACACAUUUUUGCUCACCUGAGUCAAAAGCUUAAAUGAGUUUUUUGAUCCGAUUUCUUUGUUGUCUGUUGUGUUGUAAACUUGUUACAACUUAAUUUUUGUUCAAAUGAUGCCCCUUCCCCCCUGGGAGCUUGAGACCAUUUAUAAAGUUAAACUUCUCAAAAUGGAACUGAUAUCUUCUUUUUUUCAAGCCAAGAUACUCAGGUGAUGUACAAAGUAUGUACUUUGUAGUGACAUCAAUUAGAAGCAAUAUCAUUUUUAAACCGCAGUUUGAUAGCAGAAAUUUUAUUUUCAAGAAAAUGUUGGAGGCAUAUGUUUAUUUAUAUCAUAUUAAUUUCAUGUUUGAAUUUCAAAACCGAUUUCAGCUACUACAAUUUACAUUGGAAAAAAAUGCAGUUGUCCAACUUGUGUCUAUUGUGUGUCAUGAAGGUAAAAUCUUACAGCUUAUUGUGAUAUGCAACAAAUAUUUUACCGUGACCAUGUGUUUUUGCAACAGUUGUAAAGUGUAUAUGCUCAAGAACAUAAUUAUUAGUUUUCUCCUGUAACCCAAAUAUAACUGUGUUAGUACUUUGAUUACUGAAGCAUUUAUUUGUAAAUCAGGGUCCUGUGUAAAACUUCUGAUAUUAAGAUUACACACAUUUUGCAUUCUUAAUGCUCGUUACACUUGUGAGAAAAUUAUGAACAAAAUUGUGACGGCGACUUUCUCUUUUCUAAAAAAAAUCAUUUUCUUGUAUUUUACUGUAUAUUGUGCUUUUACACAUUCAAACUGGAAGACUGCAAUGUU